ACACCGGAAACGUCUGGAGACAGGCGCCCCCUUGUGGUCGGUGUACAGGUGGUGCAUGGCUGUCGUCAGCUCGUGUCGUGAGAUGUUGGGUUAAGUCCCGCAACGAGCGCAACCCUUGUCCCGUGUUGCCAGCAGGCCCUUGUGGUGAUGGGGACUCAAGGGAGACCGCCGGGGUCAACUCGGAGGAAGGUGAGGACGACGUCAAGUCAUCCUGCCCCUUAUGUCUUGGGCUGCACACGUGCUACAAUGGCCGGUACAAUGAACUGCGAUACCGCGAGGUGGAGCGAAUCUCAAAAAGCCGGUCUCAGUUCGGAUUGGGGUCUGCAACUCGACCCCAUGAAGUCGGAGUCGCUAGUAAUCCCACAUCACCAUUGCUGCGGUGAAUACGUUCCCGGGCCUUGUAGA
rnacentral:rRNA from 1 species